rnacentral:rRNA from 1 species
GACGAACGCUGGCGGCGUGCCUAACACAUGCAAGUCGAACGGGGAGUUACUUGUAACUCCUAGUGGCGAACGGGUGAGUAACGCGUAGAUAACCUGACUCUAAACUGGGGACAACACCGCGAAAGUGGUGCUAAUACCGAAUGUGGUAACUUGGUCGCAUGACUGAGUUAAGAAAGAUGGCCUCUAUUUAUAAGCUAUCGAUUAGAGAUGGGUCUGCGUCUGAUUAGCUAGUUGGUGGGGUAAAGGCUCACCAAGGCGACGAUCAGUAGCCGGUCUGAGAGGAUGAACGGCCACACUGGGACUGAGACACGGCCCAGACUCCUACGGGAGGCAGCAGUGGGGAAUCUUCCGCAAUGGACGAAAGUCUGACGGAGCAACGCCGCGUGAGUGAAGAAGGUCUUCGGAUUGUAAAGCUCUGUCGUUUGGGACGAACGAGGAUGAGAGUAACUGUUCAUCCCUUGACGGUAUCUAACCAGAAAGCCACGGCUAACUACGUGCCAGCAGCCGCAGUAA